rnacentral:lncRNA from 1 species
CUCUCUCUCUCAGAUAAAUAUAUAAAAUUUUCAGGAGAAAAAAAAAAAAAAGAACAUUGGAUUUCAAAAGGUCUUCCCUUUCUGUAAGCACCUGGGUAAGCGGAAUGGCUCUGAAGUCCAGAGCUGUGACAGCUCGGAUGGCAGAGCCACAGAAGGGCUCUGUGAAAGCUCCAGAAGAAGGGCUCCAGAAGAGGAGGCUGGGUCCCCAUGCUGAUUCAUUUCCCAAAGCACGAGAUGUUUCUGCAGACGGAGUGGUGGCUAGUGAAGGAAAACUCUUGGCAGGCGCCAGAUACAGGCGAC